rnacentral:rRNA from 1 species
UAACACGUAUCCAACCUGCCGUCUACUCUUGGACAGCCUUCUGAAAGGAAGAUUAAUACAAGAUGGCAUCAUGAGUUCACAUGUUCACAUGAUUAAAGGUAUUCCGGUAGACGAUGGGGAUGCGUUCCAUUAGAUAGUAGGCGGGGUAACGGCCCACCUAGUCUUCGAUGGAUAGGGGUUCUGAGAGGAAGGUCCCCCACAUUGGAACUGAGACACGGUCCAAACUCCUACGGGAGGCAGCAGUGAGGAAUAUUGGUCAAUGGGCGAGAGCCUGAACCAGCCAAGUAGCGUGAAGGAUGACUGCCCUAUGGGUUGUAAACUUCUUUUAUAAAGGAAUAAAGUCGGGUAUGCAUACCCGUUUGCAUGUACUUUAUGAAUAAGGAUCGGCUAACUCCGUGCCAGCAGCCGCGGUAAUACGGAGGAUGCGAGCGUUAUCCGGAUUUAUUGGGUUUAAAGGGAGCGUAGAUGGAUGUUUAAGUCAGUUGUGAAAGUUUGCGGCUCAACCGUAAAAUUGCAGUUGAUACUGGAUAUCUUGAGUGCAGUUGAGGCAGGCGGAAUUCGUGGUGUAGCGGUGAAAUGCUUAGAUAUCACGAAGAACUCCGAUUGCGAAGGCAGCCUGCUAAGCUGCAACUGACAUUGAGGCUCGAAAGUGUGGGUAUCAAACAGGAUUAGAUACCCUGGUAGUCCACACGGUAAACGAUGAGUACUCGCUGU